rnacentral:rRNA from 1 species
UACGGGGGGGGGCGAGCGUUGUUCGGAAUUAUUGGGCGUAAAGGGCGCGUAGGCGGUGUGGUAAGUCUGAUGUGAAAACUCCAGGCUCAACUUGGAGAUUGCAUCAGAAACUGCCGUGCUAGAGUGUGGGAGAGGAGAGUGGAAUCCUGGUGUAGCGGUGAAAUGCGUAGAUAUCAGGAGGAACACCAGCGGCGAAGGCGGCGCUCUGGGCCGGAACUGACGCUGAGGAGCGAAAGCGUGGGUAGCAAACAGG